CGACUAAACCCGCCGGAUUUCGGCCGGCACGCCUCCCCUGCUCCAAGUCCGGCCAAGGACUGCAUUGCAAGGCCCCAAAUCUUUCCCGGGGCCUCCGUGCAAUGUUUUGUUUCUUUUUUUUCAAAAUAGUGAACUUCAAAAAUUCAUAACAAAUCGGAGAAAAUUCAAAAAAUACAAACUCAAUUAUUCUGAGUUCAUUGUAACUGGAUCCACACUUUUUGUUACAUGCACUUUUUCAUUUGAUAAGUAGUUUUUGCUCUAGUAUAAAUAUAAGUUUAUUAGGUUUUUAUUUACAUCUCAAGUUAUAGCCAUGUACUGUAGGAGAUCUUUGGACAGUAUGUUGCAGGCUGUGAGUAUAGACUUGUGUAAAGUUUAGAAGUCCAUUUGACUUUUCUAGUUGUAGGUUUAGUUAAAGUUUUCUUUAUGCCUAGGUUAAAUAAAUAUAUUUUCUUCAUGUUCUUAUACUAGGUUUAUUGAGCUCAAAAUUUUACUGUUAGAAUAUCUCAGUAUCUAGUUGCUGUACAAAAAGUUUGAAUGUUUUUAGUUAAGAACAAUCUUAUGCUGUUUUGGUUCAUGAUAUUUAAGGAGGAAUUUAGUUAAUUUAUGAUUUAGUUGAUAUUGUAAUAUCAAAAAUUAGGCAUAAGAUAAUUUUUUUACCAUUAGGCAUGAUAUUUACUGUAUAACAAAUUUGUUGAUCAAUAAGUAUGUUUUGAUUUACAUGUAGAUUGACCAACGCCGCGCCGCCGUGCCAAGGUGACCAACCGAUGGCGAAUUUCUACCGUGAACACUUAACAAUCUUUGACGAACUAGAGGUCGGGUACAAUAUCCGGCGUUUUUUCGGCCGCACAGUACUUGUCACCCCGGCUCCAUCUCCAGAAGCUCCUCUACCUAUCCCCGGCCAGAUCCAUCGCAGUGCGCUACGUGAUGUAGUGUUACAGAACACUGGGGUAGAGCUUCUGCUAGAGAGUGUCUCAUGUUACCUGACAGGUUACUUGCUGCUAUCCCGUUCACCCGAGGAGGCCACUCGCAUCUUGGCGGCACCAUUCAUCCGUAUUGGGGAACAUGUCCUUGCCCUCGCACCCUGGACGCCAAGUUUUGGUGCCAUUGAAAUACCCUAUGAUGAGCAACUACCACAACAACCCCUGACACCAGCUAGACGCCGACCAUCACCACAAAAUCGCGUACGACUACACCUGGUCAUAUCUGGAUUGCCACUGCAUCUAUUUGCGCAGUCGCAAUUGGUAUUAUCUAGAGUCUUCGCAAACAUAUGUCAGCUUCGCGACAUCGAGAGGGAUACAAGUGAUUACUCACUCGGGGCGAACACAUUUGCAGAAUUGGAAUCUAUACCUAGGAUUGUAUAUGUAGGCAUCCAGAAAGUUGGACAAAGUGGUCCCUACGUGCAGCUGUGGCCAUUUUGGAUUCAACCAUAUCAUCUUCCACCGGCUGACCCACAGGCAGUCGAGCAACACGAGAAUGAUCUGAGAGAAGUUCGAGUCCGAUUAUGUCUUUACCCACAACCCGCCCCUUGCCAGGGUGCGGGGCCUUCUGGACAAGGAGGUGCACAAGGACAACAACGUGUGCAAUUAUGUAUGGUUCAACUAGUCAAUACAUCAUCCUAACUACAUACUUGAGCACACAAACAAUUCAUAAAUUGCGCUACCUCAUGUGGAUUCUCAUGCAGGUCUGAUUGAGGAAUAUGAAGACAGCCCCUCUCCACGUGAACAGGGAAGUGGAUCCACCAUUGUGGAGGAGACACCACCAGACUCACCAUCGGAGGGCACCGAACUAGAUCUCAAAGCAUAUGGCGACGACGAAGAUUCCGGCAACUACGAAGGUCCUACCCAAAUAGUCUCCACACAAGGUGACAAAGAAUAAUAAUUCCAAAGAUGAGAAGACACUGGAAGCGGCAAGCACUCAAGAAAACUGUGCUAGAUGCCACGAGCACGUGUCCUCAGGCUUGCUCACGGAGUACCAGUCUGUUAAGCCCACCGGAGCAACGUCGUCGUGAAAUACACGUUGCGCUAUGUGUGCUUUAUCAUUUCCCUUACUUUCUCUAUGGACUUGUGAUAAUAUGGACUACUAGCUAGUUGUAUGGAUUGCAUGUGAUAUUUAAUGUAAUGUAUGGACUUGUAUAAUUUCCCUUGCAUUCUAUUUCCCUUGCGUUCUGUAUGGCAUUGCAUU